rnacentral:rRNA from 1 species
UACGGAGGGUGCUAGCGUUAUCCGGAUUCACUGGGUUUAAAGGGUGCGUAGGCGGGCCGGUAAGUCAGCGGUGAAAUCCCCGAGCUUAACUUGGGAACUGCCAUUGAUACUAUCUGUCUUGAAUACCUUGGAGGUGAGCGGAAUAUGUCAUGUAGCGGUGAAAUGCUUAGAUAUGACAUAGAACACCAAUUGCGAAGGCAGCUCACUACACGGUCAUUGACACUGAGGCACGAAAGCGUGGGGAUCAAACAGG